rnacentral:lncRNA from 1 species
UGGACAGGAGCCUAGCAUAACUGUCUCCUGAGAGGCUCCGUCCAGUGGAUGGAAACAGAUGUAGAGACCCACAGCUGAAUCGCAGGCAGAGCUCGGGGAGUCUUGUGGAAGAGUGGGAGGAAGGACAGCACAAGAAGACCUGCAGAGUCAACUAACCUGGGCCCAUGGGGGCUUACAGAGACUGAGCCAAACAAAGAGCAUGCAUGGACUGGACAUAGGUCCCCUACACAUAUGCAGGAGAUAUGCAGCUUGGUCUUCAUGUGGGUCUUUUGUAACAACUGGAGUGGGGCCAGU